rnacentral:rRNA from 1 species
AACGACUCUCGGCAACGGAUAUCUCGGCUCUCGCAUCGAUGAAAAACGCAGCGAAAUGCGAUACUUGGUGUGAAUUGCAGAAUCCCGUGAACCAUCGAGUUUUUGAACGCAAGUUGCGCCCAAAGCCUUUUGGCCGAGGGCACGUCUGCCUGGGUGUCACGC